rnacentral:rRNA from 1 species
UACGUAGGUGGCUAGCGUUGUCCGGAUUUACUGGGCGUAAAGAGCGCGCAGGCGGUCGUUCAAGUCGAGUGUGAAAGCCCCGGGCUCAACCCGGGAAGUGCACUCGAUACUGCCACGCUAGAGUAUCGGAGAGGUUGGUGGAAUUCUCGGUGUAGAGGUGAAAUUCGUAGAUAUCGAGAGGAACACCGGUGGCGAAGGCGGCCAACUGGACGAAUACUGACGCUGAGACUCGAAAGCGUGGGGAGCAAACAGG